rnacentral:rRNA from 1 species
GAUGAACGCUAGCUACAGGCCUAACACAUGCAAGUCGAGGGACCGGCGCACGGGUGAGUUACCCGUAUCCCACCUGCCCUUUACUCGGGGAUAGCCUUUCGAGAGAAAGAUUACUACCCGACGUAAUGGAUGGGGAUGCGUUGCAUUCGGUUGUUGGUGAGGUAACGGCUAACCAAGCCUUCGAUGGCUAGGGGUUGUGAGAGGAAGGUCCACGACAUUGGAACUGAGGCACGGUCCAAAACGGUACGGGAGGGUGCAGUGAGGAAUAUUGGGGAAUGGGGGUUAGCCUGAACCAGCCAAGUAGAGGGAAGGAGGAAGGCUUAUGGGGCGUAAACUUCUUUGAUAGAAGAAGAUGUAUUAUAUGAAGAAGGAUCGGCUAACUCCGUGCCAGCAGCCGCGGUAAUUC